CGGCGGACGGGUGAGUAACACGUGGAUAACCUACCUACAAGACUGGGAUAACUUCGGGAAACCGGAGCUAAUACCGGAUAAUAUAUUGAACCGCAUGGUUCAAUAGUGAAAGACGGUUUUGCUGUCACUUAUAGAUGGAUCCGCGCCGCAUUAGCUAGUUGGUAAGGUAACGGCUUACCAAGGCAACGAUGCGUAGCCGACCUGAGAGGGUGAUCGGCCACACUGGAACUGAGACACGGUCCAG
rnacentral:rRNA from 1 species